UACGUAGGCCCCGAGCGUUGUCCGGAUUUAUUGGGCAUAAAGCGAGCGCAGGUGGUUUAUUAAGUCUGGUGUAAAAGGCAGUGGCUCAACCAUUGUAUGCAUUGGAAACUGGUAGACUUGAGUGCAGGAGAGGAGAGUGGAAUUCCAUGUGUAGCGGUGAAAUGCGUAGAUAUAUGGAGGAACACCGGUGGCGAAAGCGGCUCUCUGGCCUGUAACUGACGCUGAGGUUCGAAAGCGUGGGUAGCAAACAGG
rnacentral:rRNA from 1 species